rnacentral:rRNA from 1 species
UGUAUAAUGGGUCAGCGACUUAUAUUCUGUAGCAAGGUUAACCGAAUAGGGGAGCCGAAGGGAAACCGAGUCUUAACUGGGCGUUAAGUUGCAGGGUAUAGACCCGAAACCCGGUGAUCUAGCCAUGGGCAGGUUGAAGGUUGGGUAACACUAACUGGAGGACCGAACCGACUAAUGUUGAAAAAUUAGCGGAUGACUUGUGGCUGGGGGUGAAAGGCCAAUCAAACCGGGAGAUAGCUGGUUCUCCCCGAAAGCUAUUUAGGUAGCGCCUCGUGAAUUCAUCUCCGGGGGUAGAGCACUGUUUCGGCAAGGGGGUCAUCCCGACUUACCAACCCGAUGCAAACUGCGAAUACCGGAGAAUGUUAUCACGGGAGACACACGGCGGGUGCUAACGUCCGUCGUGAAGAGGGAAACAACCCAGACCGCCAGCUAAGGUCCCAAAGUCAUGGUUAAGUGGGAAACGAUGUGGGAAGGCCCAGACAGCCAGGAUGUUGGCUUAGAAGCAGCCAUCAUUUAAAGAAAGCGUAAUAGCUCACUGGUCGAGUCGGCCUGCGCGGAAGAUGUAACGGGGCUAAACCAUGCACCGAAGCUGCGGCAGCGACGCUUAUGCGUUGUUGGGUAGGGGAGCGUUCUGUAAGCCUGUGAAGGUGUGCUGUGAGGCAUGCUGGAGGUAUCAGAAGUGCGAAUGCUGACAUAAGUAACGAUAAAGCGGGUGAAAAGCCCGCUCGCCGGAAGACCAAGGGUUCCUGUCCAACGUUAAUCGGGGCAGGGUGAGUCGACCCCUAAGGCGAGGCCGAAAGGCGUAGUCGAUGGGAAACAGGUUAAUAUUCCUGUACUUGGUGUUACUGCGAAGGG